rnacentral:rRNA from 1 species
GACGUAGGCGGCAAGCGUUGUCCGGAUGUAUUGGGCGUAAAGGGCGCGCAGGCGGUCCGUUAAGGCCGAGGUGAAAUCUCCCGGCUCAACUGGGAGGGGUCUUCGGAUACUGGCGGACUUGAGGAGUGCAGAGGUGAGUGGAAUUCUCGGUGUAGUGGUGAAAUGCGUAGAUAUCGAGAGGAACACCAGUGGCGAAGGCGGCUCACUGGGCACCACCUGACGCUGAGGCGCGAAAGCGUGGGGAGCGAACCGG